UUGAAUGAUGGAUGUUAUUCUUGUGCAGGAACAGAGAAAGCUGCAGUUUAAUUUGUCACAUUGUGUUUCUCCAGUAAGUUUCGUUUAUUGGAGUGCAGUGAUUCAAUAAGGCCUUCUCAACAUUACCUUCUCAAGGAAAAAUCUCUCCCUUGAGUUCACCUGCAGACCUCUCUCUUGGAGUCGUUCUUGUAAUCACCUGAGGCCCAUGAAGAAGCCCAGAAUGCAAAGAAGCAGAGACCAGCUGACCAUCAUUGAGAGAGAGAGAGGGAGAAAGCAACUUUGCAGAGCCAGAGACAGAGCCACGGAAAAAGUGACUGUGUAAAUUUACAAGAGACUCUGGACAUAUUGUAAUCAGAAGAGGCAGUAUGUUUCGUGUUGAUAAUUAUGGCAAUUUUGUUCCUGAUAAAUUGUGAAUGUUUUACUUUG